GACGAACGCUGGCGGCGUGCUUAACACAUGCAAGUGGAGCGACGAACCAGGGCUUGCCCUGGGGCAAAGCCGCGAACGGGUGAGUAACACGUGGGUAACCUGCCUCGAUGAUCGGGACAACCCGGGGAAACCCGAGCUAAUACCGAAUGUGCCCCGUCCACACCAGUGGACGGUGUAAAGGAAGCUUCGGCCUCCGCAUCGAGAUGGGCCCGCGGCCCAUUAGCUUGUUGAUGGGGUAAAGGCCCACCAAGGCUCCGAUGGGUAGCUGGUCUGAGAGGACGAUCAGCCACACUGGGACUGAGACACGGCCCAGACUCCUACGGGAGGCAGCAGUGGGGAAUCUUGCGCAAUGCGCGAAAGCGUGACGCAGCAACGCCGCGUGGGGGAGACGGCCUUAGGGUUGUAAACCCCUUUCAGGAGGGACGAAGGUCGGCGCGUUAAUAGCGCGUCCGACUGACGGUACCUCCACAAGAA
rnacentral:rRNA from 1 species